rnacentral:rRNA from 1 species
CCUACGGGUGGCUGCAGUGGGGAAUAUUGCACAAUGGGGGAAACCCUGAUGCAGCAACGCCGCGUGAGCGAAGAAGGCCUUCGGGUCGUAAAGCUCUGUCCUAAGGGAAGAAAUUUGACGGUACCUUAGGAGGAAGCCCCGGCUAACUACGUGCAAGCAGCCGCGGUAAUACGUAGGGGGCGAGCGUUAUCCGGAAUCACUGGGCGUAAAGGGUGCGUAGGAGGCUAAGUAAGCCAGGGGUGUAAGGCAUCGGCCCAACCGUAGUAGGCCUUUGUAACUACUUAGCUUGGUCGCUGGAGAGGCGAGUCGAAUUCAUAGUGUAGCGGCUGAAUGCGUAGAUACUAGGAGGAACCCCAGUGGCGAAGGCGACUCUCUGGACUGUAACUGACGCUGAGGCACGAGAGCGUGGUGAGCAAACAGGAUUAGAUACCGGGGAAGUC